AAGGAUUUGGAUGAAGGGAGGUAGAGAGGAUAGAGUGUGGAGAGGCAGGGAGGAAGCCCAUCCCUCUCCUCCACCACGUGCCCCGCUGAAGCAGAUGGCGCUGUGUGGCUCUGCCAUGCCGCCACGAUCGCCUUCUGAGGACUGCUGCCAUAAGGAGGCAGGUUAGUAGGAGAUUUGGGGUGACAGUGUUUGGCAUGGGCUACAAAGUGAAGAUGUAGGGAGGGAGAAAGCGCUUGGUGCCUUGGGCUGACACAAAGAAUUUCCAAGAAGCAGUAAGGAGGAGUAACAACAUCGUCUGUGUGAUAAGAAGUAGCAUGGGCUUUUGGAAAAGGAAUGAAGACAAAGUCUGUGGAAGGCAGUUUCCUCAGAGGGAGGGGCCAGAACUGUAUGUGUGGGGAAAUUCUGGGUCAAUCAAUAACCCCUGAUUUUCCAACUCGUACCAACGACUUUGAGAAUGACAUGGUUGGUUUUUGUGUGUACCAUCACUUCCAUGUGGCACCAUGCUGCCAGAACAGUUUGCUGUAUGAAAGGACUUGAACAAAACUUGCAGAUGUGUCUUUGUAUUACUGAUAAAAGAAAAAAAAACAGUCACUUACAAUAACAAUAACGUUAUCCAGGGUAGAAUUGUUUUUACAGCGUGGUUAAUGUAUCAUUAGUGAUGAAUUUGGUUUUAGAUAUAAAUAUAAUCGCUGAAUCUAUACACUAAAUAUGUUUUAUGACUUUGAAUAUACACCUUUGUAAGAAGGCUGAUGAAUUUGCAGUGCUGCUUCCAAUCAUUCUGCCAUUAUGCCUCAUCAUUUCACUCACUGCUCUUUUCAGAGAAGCAGAUGUGAAUGAGUCUGUGUGUGUGCAUACACUGUUUGUGGUUGAAAGUGUGUGUAUGAGAGAGAGAGAGAGAGAGAGAGAGAGAGAGAGAGAGAGAGAGAGAGAGAGAGAAAGACAGAGAGAGAGAGUUAGCCAAAUAGCCCUCUCUUUUGAAACCCAGAGGGCCUGGCUGACUCCAGUCUCCAACAUGGCCGCCAUAAAUCAGUGAGAGAAGGAGCUAAGUUAAUUGCACAGGCAUUUAUGAAGGAGAAAGCCUUGAUUUACUCCAAAAGCUUUACAUCUCCCCUGUGGAUGUGGAGUGAUGAAAGGAGUGGAGCAAGGGAAAAUGGGAGGAGGGGCACGGUGGUGGGGACAGGGAUAGCACAUGCGGGGUGUGAACAAAGUUCACUUGCAGCAUAUUAGAUAAGCUGAUUGGUGAACUAGAUUGUGGACAGAUAUUCAUCUAUUGCCUUGGGAAUAAUUAUCAAAACUUGAUAGAAGUCAGGGUGACUUUGGUUUAGAUAGGAAAUGUUGAUUAUGGAGUCAAAUAACUGGAUAUUGGAUGUGCAAGUUAUCUGACAUUUGCAUAAUGUAAAUACUUUGAAACAAACAUAGGCAUGUAACAAUUAGGUGCAGUCUAUGUAUCUAGUCCUCCCGCUUGACAAAGGUUUACAUUCAAUUUCUUCAAGGAAAAGCAGGCCCUCACACACUAGAGGUGGACAGCAUUGUACUUUUUCUGACAUUUUUGUGGUACUGGUACUUUAGUAGUAUUAGUAUUCUUAUUUUGAGAGUAUUAACAAUUUGAACCCAUUACAUUUCAAAAGAGGAAUCUUGUAAUGUGUGUAUUGUUGAUUAUAUUUACCUGCCACCACACAAUCAUGCAAAAGCUACAAUAACCUUAAAUUAUGAUGCAUUAUUGUAGUUUCAUUUACAUCUCAUUGUAUGAGGUUGUUAUUGUAUGUCUAGUGCUGCCUGAACCGUCUGCAUUUUUACAAUAUGUCAAGUUUGUCAUUGCAAUAAAAAUGUUUGAAUGGCCAUUAAA